CAGGGGGGAGCCUACACAUGCAAGUCGAGCGAGCUCUUCGGAGCUAGCGGCGGACGGGUUAGUAACGCGUGGGAACGUGCCCUUCACUGCGGAAUAGCCACUGGAAACGGUGAGUAAUACCGCAUACGCCCUUCGGGGGAAAGAUUUAUCGGUGAAGGAUCGGCCCGCGUUAGAUUAGAUAGUUGGUGGGGUAACGGCCUACCAAGUCUACGAUCUAUAGCUGGUUUUAGAGGAUGAUCAGCAACACUGGGACUGAGACACGGCCCAGACUCCUACGGGAGGCAGCAGUGGGGAAUCUUGGACAAUGGGCGCAAGCCUGAUCCAGCCAUGCCGCGUGAGUGAUGAAGGCCUUAGGGUCGUAAAGCUCUUUCGCCAGAGAUGAUAAUGACAGUAUCUGGUAAAGAAACCCCGGCUAACUCCGUGCCAGCAGCCGCGGUAAUACGGAGGGGGUUAGCGUUGUUCGGAAUUACUGGGCGUAAAGCGCACGUAGGCGGAUCAGAAAGUUGGGGGUGAAAUCCCGGGGCUCAACCCCGGAACUGCCUCCAAAACUCCUGGUCUUGAGUUCGAGAGAGGUGAGUGGAAUUCCGAGUGUAGAGGUGAAAUUCGUAGAUAUUCGGAGGAACACCAGUGGCGAAGGCGGCUCACUGGCUCGAUACUGAC
rnacentral:rRNA from 1 species